rnacentral:rRNA from 1 species
GAGCACCUACGGGACGCAGCAGUGAGGAAUAUUGGUCAAUGGGAGGAAUCCUGAACCAGCCAUGCCGCGUGCAGGACGACGGCUCUACGAGUUGUAAACUGCUUUUGUACCGGGGUAAAAUGCCCUACGAGUAGGGUUUUGAAAGUACGGUACGAAUAAGGAUCGGCUAACUCCGUGCCAGCAGCCGCGGUAAUACGGAGGAUCCGAGCGUUAUCCGGAUUCAUUGGGUUUAAAGGGUGCGUAGGUUGUUUUUUAAGUUAGCGGUUAAAUACCGAUGCUCAACCUCGGG